GUGAGGAAUAUUGGACAAUGGAGGAAACUCUGAUCCAGCCAUGCCGCGUGAGUGAUGAAGGCCUUCGGGUUGUAAAGCUCUUUCGGGUGUGAAAAUGAUGAUGGUAACACCAGAAGAAGCCCCGGCUAACUCCGUGCCAGCAGCCGCGGUAAUACGGAGGGGGCGAGCGUUGUUCGGAAUCACUGGGCGUAAAGCGUGCGUAGGCGGUUAUACAAGUCAGGAGUGAAAUCCCAGGGCUCAACCUUGGAAUUGCUUUUGAGACUGUAUGACUAGAGAUCUAGAGAGGUUGGGGGAAUUCCGAGUGUAGAGGUGAAAUUCGCAGAUAUUCGGAGGAACACCAGUGGCGUAGGCGCCCAACUGGCUAGAUACUGACGCUGAGGCACGAAAGCGUGGGGAGCAAACAGGAUUAGAAACCCCAGUAGUCC
rnacentral:rRNA from 1 species